UGGGGGCUCAUGCCUUCCUUUUUAGGAGGAUUGUAUUUGUCCAUCUCUUUUGUUAGAUUGCUUGUCUUCUGGAUUCAAUGUGUUUAUUGUUUUUGAUUUACUCGUUUUGUAGAGCACAUAAUUCCGUCACUUCAGUAAUUUGGGGAAGCUGCCAUUAUUUGUGUUGAGAAGUUGAGCCAAUGGUUUUGUUGCUUCUUUGAAGAGAGUUGUUGGUGGAAAGGAAGAGAAAAUAUGAAGAGAUGAGAGAAAUGUGUUCCACGGUGUUCAUAUCAUCCAUUUGGGCCUCAAGUAAGUCAGAAUUUUGGAGAUGGAAAAGGCAUCACAUUUUGGGACACAUGAGAAAAAACCUGAAAAAGUCAAACUGACAGUCAUAAGGAGAAUUACUUGGAGGUGACAUUGAAGGAAAUGGCAUUGUAAGAAGAAAACCCUCUGGACACACACAAAAAAAUGAAAGAAAUGCCUCAAGCUUUCGUGUAAUUUGUAGGAGUUUGUAGAUGGAACUAUACUGAUGACAUAAUAUGUUAAUGGAUCUGCAUUUCAGAAGGGACAUUUCUUUUGCACAAAUAUUCUGGAACUAUGACUGAAUGACUCUGGAAAGACAGAAAGAUUCUAAGACUCUGGCACCUUCAACAGCAGCACAGUGAAGUAGGAAGAGUGAGAAUACCUUGACUCUGAUCUUCAGUUACCAGGUCUAUUGUUGUAGACACGACCCCUAAAUUUUUGAGUCUCAGUUUUAGUUUCCUAAUUUUAAAAGAAGGAUAAUGAUGCUUCUCCAACUCGCCUCAAGGGGCUCUACUGAGAUUUGAAUGUGAUAAUAUAUGUUAAAUGCAUGUUGUUGAUUGUACAGUGCUAAUCCCUUUUCAGAUAUGGUUUUAUCACCACUUAAUUCAUUGAACUUUAUCUCAUUGCUCAAUUAAUCAGUUUCCUUUUAUGUCCACAAAAAUGGAACUUUUAAAUCCAAUCUCUAUGUUGCAGCAGAAAAUGUAUUUCCUGGUGUCUACAAAAAUAUCAAUAAAUA